UUACGGGAGGCAGCAGUAGGGAAUCUUCCGCAAUGGACGAAAGUCUGACGGAGCAACGCCGCGUGAGUGAUGAAGGCUUUCGGGUCGUAAAACUCUGUUGUUAGGGAAGAACAAGUACGAGAGUAACUGCUCGUACCUUGACGGUACCUAACCAGAAAGCCACGGCUAACUACGUGCCAGCAGCCGCGGUAAUACGUAGGUGGCAAGCGUUAUCCGGAAUUAUUGGGCGUAAAGCGCGCGCAGGCGGUUUCUUAAGUCUGAUGUGAAAGCCCACGGCUCAACCGUGGAGGGUCAUUGGAAACUGGGGAACUUGAGUGCAGAAGAGAAAAGCGGAAUUCCACGUGUAGCGGUGAAAUGCGUAGAGAUGUGGAGGAACACCAGUGGCGAAGGCGGCUUUUUGGUCUGUAACUGACGCUGAGGCGCGAAAGCGUGGGGAGCAAACAGGAUUAGAAACCCCAGUAGUCCA
rnacentral:rRNA from 1 species